GAUGAACGCUGGCGGCGUGCCUAAUACAUGCAAGUCGAGCGAACAGAUGAGGAGCUUGCUCCUCUGACGUUAGCGGCGGACGGGUGAGUAACACGUGGAUAACCUACCUAUAAGACUGGGAUAACUUCGGGAAACCGGAGCUAAUACCGGAUAAUAUAUUGAACCGCAUGGUUCAAUAGUGAAAGACGGUUUUGCUGUCACUUAUAGAUGGAUCCGCGCCGCAUUAGCUAGUUGGUAAGGUAACGGCUUACCAAGGCAACGAUGCGUAGCCGACCUGAGAGGGUGAUCGGCCACACAGGAACUGAGACACGGUCCAGACUCCUACGGGAGGCAGCAGUAGGGAAUCUUCCGCAAUGGGCGAAAGCCUGACGGAGCAACGCAGCGUGAGUGAUGAAGGUCUUCGGAUCGUAAAACUCUGUUAUUAGGGAAGAACAAAUGUGUAAGUAACGAUGCACGUCUUGACGGUACCUAAUCAGAAAGCCACGGCUAACUACGU
rnacentral:rRNA from 1 species